rnacentral:rRNA from 1 species
UACGUAGGGUGCGAGCGUUGUCCGGAAUUACUGGGUGUAAAGGGUCCGUAGGCGGAUGGAUAAGUCAAAGGUGAAAUCUCACAGCUUAACUGUGAAAUUGCUUUUGAUACUGUCCAUCUUGAGUGUGAGAGAGGAUGAUGGAAUUCAUGGUGUAGCGGUGAAAUGCGUAGAUAUCAUGAAGAACACCGGUGGCGAAGGCGGUCAUCUGGCUCACAACUGACGCUGAGGGACGAAAGCGUGGGGAGCAAACAGG